AACGAACGCUGGCGGCAGGCUUAACACAUGCAAGUCGAGCGCAUCCUUCGGGGUGAGCGGCGGACGGGUGAGUAACGCGUGGGAACGUGCCCUCUUCUACGGAAUAGCCUCGGGAAACUGAGAGUAGUGCCGUAUACGCCCGCAAGGGGAAAGAUUUAUCGGAGGAGGAUCGGCCCGCGUUGGAUUAGGUAGUUGGUGGGGUAACGGCCUACCAAGCCGACGAUCCAUAGCUGGUUUGAGAGGAUGAUCAGCCACACUGGGACUGAGACACGGCCCAGACUCCUACGGGAGGCAGCAGUGGGGAAUCUUGGACAAUGGGGGCAACCCUGAUCCAGCCAUGCCGCGUGAUCGAUGAAGGCCUUAGGGUUGUAAAGAUCUUUCAGCUGGGAAGAUAAUGACGGUACCAGCAGAAGAAGCCCCGGCUAACUCCGUG
rnacentral:rRNA from 1 species